CCAGACUCCUACGGGAGGCAGCAGUGGGGAAUAUUGGGCAAUGGGCGCAAGCCUGACCCAGCAACGCCGCGUGAAGGAAGAAGGCUUUCGGGUUGUAAACUUCUUUUAUGAGGGACGAAAGAAAUGACGGUACCUCAUGAAUAAGCCACGGCUAACUACGUGCCAGCAGCCGCGGUAAUACGUAGGAAGCAAGCGUUGUCCGGAAUUACUGGGCGUAAAGGGCGCGUAGGUGGGCGCUUAAGUCAGGUGUGAAAACUCCGGGCUCAACUUGGAGACUGCACUUGAAACUGGGUGUCUUGAGGGCAGGAGAGGAAAGUGGAAUUCCUAGUGUAGCGGUGAAAUGCGUAGAUAUCAGGAGGAACACCGGUGGCGAAGGCGGCCUGCUGGACUGCAACUGACGUUGAGGCCCGAAAGCGUGGGGAGCAAACAGGAUUAGAUACCCCUGUA
rnacentral:rRNA from 1 species